AGCGAACGCUGGCGGCAGGCUUAACACAUGCAAGUCGAGCGGGCAUAGCAAUAUGUCAGCGGCAGACGGGUGAGUAACGCGUGGGAACGUACCUUUUGGUUCGGAACAACACAGGGAAACUUGUGCUAAUACCGGAUAAGCGCUUACGGGGAAAGACUUAUCGCAGAAAGAUCGGCCCGCGUCUGAUUAGCUAGUUGGUGAGGGAAUGGCUCACCAAGGCGACGAUCAGUAGCGGGUCUGAGAGGAUGAUCAGCCACAUUGGGACUGAGACACGGCCCAAACUCCUGCGGGAUGCAGCAGUGGGGUAUAUUGGACAAUGGGCGCAAGCCUGAUCCAGCCAUGCCGCGUGAGUGAUGAAGGCCCUAGGGUUGUAGAGCUCUUUUGUGCGGGAAGAUAAUGACGGUACCGCAAGAAUAAGCCCCGGCUAACUUCGUGCCAGCCGCCGCAGUAA
rnacentral:rRNA from 1 species